UUGGCAUGACACGGGUUAUGUUCUUCUCAUAUAUUUUAUGAUAGUAUGAUACUAAACCACUAACGGGAGGGAUUGUACCUGAUCUUCAUAUGAUGAAGACAUAAUCUUUCAAUCAGUUUAAUUGAGGUCUGGAGCUGGCAUGUCAGUUAACUGCUAGUAGUCUGUUGUUAUUUAUAUAUUAUUGUCAUUUUAUUUAUUUUCUUUUGUUACAUCUUUUGACAUCGGACUCGGACUUCUCUUGAACUGAAUUUUAAUGUGCGUAUUGUUAUGCGUUUACUUUUCUACAUUGGCUAGAGGUAUAGGGGGAGGGUUGAGAUCUCAUAAACAUGUUUAACCCGGCCGCAAUUUUGCGCCUGUCCCAAUUCAGGAGCCUCAAGCAUUUGUUAGUCUUGUAUGAUUUUUAAUUUUAGUUUCUUGUGUAUAAUUCGGAGUUUAGUAUGACGUCCAUUAUCACUGUACUAGUAUACAUAUUUUUAGGGGCCAGCUGAAGGACACCUACGGGUGCCGGAGUUCUCGCUACAUUGAAGACCUAUUGGUGGCCUUCGGCUGUUGUCUGCUCUAUGGUCGGGUUGUUGUCGCUUUGACACAUUCCCCAUUUC
rnacentral:lncRNA from 1 species